UCGUGAGAUGUUGGGUUAAGUCCCGCAACGAGCGCAACCCUUUUCCUUACUUGCCAGCAUUUCGGAUGGGAACUUUAAGGAUACUGCCAGUGACAAACUGGAGGAAGGCGGGGACGACGUCAAGUCAUCAUGGCCCUUACGGCCAGGGCUACACACGUGCUACAAUGGUCGGUACAAAGGGUUGCUACACAGCGAUGUGAUGCUAAUCUCAAAAAGCCGAUCGUAGUCCGGAUUGGAGUCUGCAACUCGACUCCAUGAAGUCGGAAUCGCUAGUAAUCGCGGAUCAGAAUGCCGCGGUGAAUACGUUCCCGGGCCUUGUACACACCGCCCGUCACACCAUGGGAGUUUGUUGCACCAGAAGUAGCUAGCCUAACUGCAAAGAGGGCGGUUACCACGGUGUGGCCGAUGACUGGGGUG
rnacentral:rRNA from 1 species